rnacentral:lncRNA from 1 species
GUAGACCCCCGUUUGGGGCCUUCUCUCUCAGGCAACCUGUUUUGCCAAGUGUCACAGUCCCAUAGGGCCACGUGUCGUCUCGUGGUUGGUGGUCAUAGAAUCAGUUAUUGCUUUUUGAGGAGCUAUCAAGAGGCGACACCUGUGGGAGGAUGCUGGGGGGAUUUUGCAGGCCGUUAUUUGGGUAGCAGAGCAGCUGUAGUGAGGCGUGGCAGGCCAGCUGCAGGAACCGGGGGGG